GCUUUAAAUUAUAUAGAUUUGUGAGCAUCGGCACAAAUGCAAGUGUUUGAAAAAUGUUAAAAUUUAAAGCGGAGCAAUGUGUCUUCGCGUUAUUGUGUUGUACAGCACAUGUUUUGUGCGAAGAAUGUGUUACAUACUCUUUCGACAAAGAUUUCGAUUCGAUGUUUAACAAUGAUGUGGGGGUGUGUGGGAACAUCAAUAAUGUUUGGGUGCAAAGGAACUACUCUACAAUCGGCCUACAAAGCCCUCAUAGAAAUAGCGUGAAACAUAUAACGCCAGAGCCCGCGUUGAGCUGCGUGUCAUCGUUCUUCUUUACUAUGACAGGACGAGGAAUUGUUGAAGCCAAAAUAUUUAUGGAUGGAGCGGCGAAUUCGGACCAAAUCACAUUAUUCGCAAACCAAUACGUGCCAGGUGGAAAUCAUGGCGUAAUGGGAAACAUUAACAACACACCUCUGCAAGCAGGCUUUGUAAAAGGGUGGCACACUCUUCGCGUCCAAGUAAUUGGCACAAACGCUUAUACUGGAUAUGUAUACCGCUGGAACUUGAAACCGAUUCAAGAUCAUGUCUUAUUUAGAAAAAGCUAAGUUAUACUUUAGUAUUCUAGACAAUAUUGUUUCUAAUUUGAUUACUAUUAUUCAAAAUAAAGUUUCUCAUGUGAACGAA
rnacentral:misc_RNA from 1 species